UACGUAGGGUGCGAGCGUUGUCCGGAAUUACUGGGCGUAAAGAGCUCGUAGGUGGUUUGUCGCGUUGUUCGUGAAAACUCACAACUCAAUUGUGGGCGUGCGGGCGAUACGGGCAGACUGGAGUACUGCAGGGGAGACUGGAAUUCCUGGUGUAGCGGUGGAAUGCGCAGAUAUCAGGAGGAACACCGGUGGCGAAGGCGGGUCUCUGGGCCUGUCCUGACGCUCAGGCGCGAAAGCUAGGGGAGCGAACAGG
rnacentral:rRNA from 1 species